rnacentral:sRNA from 1 species
AAAUACUCAAUCACCUAGCAUACUUAGAAUUCUACACUACUCUAACCCAUCCUCAGAAACCUAUUCACUACUCAGACAUCAUAACAGUAAGCAUAAACGUUGAACAGGUUGAAAACAUGAUAACAACAGUGUAACAGCAGGAUGAUAAUAGAAUGAACAACAGUAAACGAAAUCAAGAACAAAAGCUGAAUACUGAAUACUGAAUAGAUAAAGAGAAAUCCGGAUUACAAAAGGUCUAGAACACAAGGUCUGCGGAAUAAAACUAGAUAAAAACUUCUUGUUUGCGAAAAUGUGAAGUACAUGCUACUUAUAGCCAAAUAUUCUGAAACCCUAAUACUCAAAACGACGAAGUAUUGGGACGGAUUAAGAACUGUACUCGACCCAUGUGGUCGAGUGGGAGGUCGAGUGAGUAGCUGGAGUGACGUGAUCGAGUGACGUGAUCGAGUGGUUGUCAGAAGAUGGAGAGGAAGUCACUCGACCUGGGGGUCGAGUGAUGUGGUCGAGUGGUUUUGUCUUCUACUUGGCCUGGGGGUCGAGUGGUCUCUUGAGAUCUUGAAGCUCCUACUCGACCUCUGGGUCGAGUGGUUUGUCAUGAUCAGGUCCGCUUCUUCCAGUUAGCUCGUGGACAGCUCCAAAUCACCUGAAAACAACACAAAUAUGCAACAUGCAUGCAAAACUAUCCUAAACAUGCAAAGUGAUGACAAAUGAUGUGAAUGGUAUAAAACAGUGAUAAUAUAAUGCUAAAAUGAUGAAAAAUGGAUGCUCAAAACAUGCAAAAUACACACUUAUCAUCCACCAACAAGCAAUAUACAUCAUGAUCAACUUCUUGAAUUAUAGAUUCAAUAACUUCCUCCGCAAAGCAAUGUACGAUGUCUUUCUGAAUUUUGGGACAUACCAUCUGAUUGUUUUUUGGAGCAUUCUCCAACACAACUUUGCUUAUAACCUCAUUCUGCCCUACUGUAUAUUUCACAAGCUCUAAGAAA